UGUCUUCCCAUAUUUAAUAUUCUUUUCGUAGGGUCAUUUAAUCGUGUUCGCACGACGUAUAGUAGCAGGGUGCUAUAUGCCCCAGGAAGUGGGUUUAUAACUUACCGUUGGUCCCGAUGGGAGACGCAUCC
rfam:Listeria monocytogenes EGD-e, complete genome